rnacentral:ncRNA from 2 species
GAGGAAGCCGGUGCGAAUCCGGCACGGUCCCGCCACUGUGAGCCCGGUCCCCGGGCGAGUCAGGAACUC